rnacentral:rRNA from 1 species
GACGUAGGGCGCGAGCGUUGUCCGGAUUUAUUGGGCGUAAAGAGCUCGUAGGCGAUCUGUCACGUCGGCUGUGAAAACCCGAGGCUCAACCUCGGGCCUGCAGUCGAUACGGGCAAACUAGAGUACUGCAGGGGAGACUGGAAUUCCUGGUGUAGCGGUGAAAUGCGCAGAUAUCAGGAGGAACACCGGUGGCGAAGGCGGGUCUCUGGGCAGUAACUGACGCUGGAGGAGCGAAAGCGUGGGGAGCGAACAGG